rnacentral:rRNA from 1 species
UACGAAGGGAGCUAGCGUUGUUCGGAAUUACUGGGCGUAAAGCGCACGUAGGCGGACUAUUAAGUCAGGGGUGAAAUCCCGGGGCUCAACCCCGGAACUGCCUUUGAUACUGGUAGUCUCGAGUCCGGAAGAGGUGAGUGGAAUUCCGAGUGUAGAGGUGAAAUUCGUAGAUAUUCGGAGGAACACCAGUGGCGAAGGCGGCUCACUGGUCCGGUACUGACGCUGAGGCGCGAAAGCUAGGGGAGCAAACGGG